rnacentral:tRNA from 1 species
GGUGCUGUGGCGCAGCCGGUUAACGCCCUGGCCUGAGGCGCCAGCAUCUCAUAUGGGCGCUGGUUCAAAUCCCAGCUGCUCCA